AGCUGAAGCUCAGUUGUAGAGUGCUUGCCUUGUAUAUAUGUGUGAAGUCCUAGGUUCAAUACCUAGUACUGCUA
rnacentral:tRNA from 1 species